rnacentral:rRNA from 1 species
GGUUAAGCGACUAAGCGUACACGGUGGAUGCCCUGGCAGUCAGAGGCGAUGAAGGACGUGCUAAUCUGCGAUAAGCGUCGGUGAGGUGAUAUGAACCGUUAUAACCGGCGAUUUCCGAAUGGGGAAACCCAGUGUGUUUCGACACACUAUCAUUAACUGAAUCCAUAGGUUAAUGAGGCGAACCGGGGGAACUGAAACAUCUAAGUACCCCGAGGAAAAGAAAUCAACCGAGAUUCCCCCAGUAGCGGCGAGCGAACGGGGAGGAGCCCAGAGCCUGAAUCAGUGUGUGUGUUAGUGGAAGCGUCUGGAAAGGCGCGCGAUACAGGGUGACAGCCCCGUACACAAAAAUGCACAUAUUGUGAGCUCGAUGAGUAGGGCGGGACACGUGGUAUCCUGUCUGAAUAUGGGGGGGACCAUCCUCCAAGGCUAAAUACUCCUGACUGACCGAUAGUGAACCAGUACCGUGAGGGAAAGGCGAAAAGAACCCCGGCGAGGGGAGUGAAAAAGAACCUGAAACCGUGUACGUACAAGCAGUGGGAGCCUCUUAAUGGGGUGACUGCGUACCUUUUGUAUAAUGGGUCAGCGACUUAUAUUCUGUAGCAAGGUUAACCGAAUAGGGGAGCCGAAGGGAAACCGAGUCUUAACUGGGCGUUAAGUUGCAGGGUAUAGACCCGAAACCCGGUGAUCUAGCCAUGGGCAGGUUGAAGGUUGGGUAACACUAACUGGAGGACCGAACCGACUAAUGUUGAAAAAUUAGCGGAUGACUUGUGGCUGGGGGUGAAAGGCCAAUCAAACCGGGAGAUAGCUGGUUCUCCCCGAAAGCUAUUUAGGUAGCGCCUCGUGAAUUCAUCUCCGGGGGUAGAGCACUGUUUCGGCAAGGGGGUCAUCCCGACUUACCAACCCGAUGCAAACUGCGAAUACCGGAGAAUGUUAUCACGGGAGACACACGGCGGGUGCUAACGUCCGUCGUGAAGAGGGAAACAACCCAGACCGCCAGCUAAGGUCCCAAAGUCAUGGUUAAGUGGGAAACGAUGUGGGAAGGCCCAGACAGCCAGGAUGUUGGCUUAGAAGCAGCCAUCAUUUAAAGAAAGCGUAAUAGCUCACUGGUCGAGUCGGCCUGCGCGGAAGAUGUAACGGGGCUAAACCAUGCACCGAAGCUGCGGCAGCGACACUAUGUGUUGUUGGGUAGGGGAGCGUUCUGUAAGCCUGUGAAGGUGGCCUGUGAGGGUUGCUGGAGGUAUCAGAAGUGCGAAUGCUGACAUAAGUAACGAUAAAGCGGGUGAAAAGCCCGCUCGCCGGAAGACCAAGGGUUCCUGUCCAACGUUAAUCGGGGCAGGGUGAGUCGACCCCUAAGGCGAGGCCGAAAGGCGUAGUCGAUGGGAAACAGGUUAAUAUUCCUGUACUUGGUGUUACUGCGAAGGGGGGACGGAGAAGGCUAUGUUGGCCGGGCGACGGUUGUCCCGGUUUAAGCGUGUAGGCUGGUUUUCCAGGCAAAUCCGGAAAAUCAAGGCUGAGGCGUGAUGACGAGGCACUACGGUGCUGAAGCGACAAAUGCCCUGCUUCCAGGAAAAGCCUCUAAGCAUCAGGUAACAUCAAAUCGUACCCCAAACCGACACAGGUGGUCAGGUAGAGAAUACCAAGGCGCUUGAGAGAACUCGGGUGAAGGAACUAGGCAAAAUGGUGCCGUAACUUCGGGAGAAGGCACGCUGAUAUGUAGGUGAAGCGACUUGCUCGUGGAGCUGAAAUCAGUCGAAGAUACCAGCUGGCUGCAACUGUUUAUUAAAAACACAGCACUGUGCAAACACGAAAGUGGACGUAUACGGUGUGACGCCUGCCCGGUGCCGGAAGGUUAAUUGAUGGGGUUAGCGGUAACGCGAAGCUCUUGAUCGAAGCCCCGGUAAACGGCGGCCGUAACUAUAACGGUCCUAAGGUAGCGAAAUUCCUUGUCGGGUAAGUUCCGACCUGCACGAAUGGCGUAAUGAUGGCCAGGCUGUCUCCACCCGAGACUCAGUGAAAUUGAACUCGCUGUGAAGAUGCAGUGUACCCGCGGCAAGACGGAAAGACCCCGUGAACCUUUACUAUAGCUUGACACUGAACAUUGAGCCUUGAUGUGUAGGAUAGGUGGGAGGCUUUGAAGUGUGGACGCCAGUCUGCAUGGAGCCGACCUUGAAAUACCACCCUUUAAUGUUUGAUGUUCUAACGUGGGCCCCUUACCGGGGUUGCGGACAGUGUCUGGUGGGUAGUUUGACUGGGGCGGUCUCCUCCUAAAGAGUAACGGAGGAGCACGAAGGUUGGCUAAUCCUGGUCGGACAUCAGGAGGUUAGUGCAAUGGCAUAAGCCAGCUUGACUGCGAGCGUGACGGCGCGAGCAGGUGCGAAAGCAGGUCAUAGUGAUCCGGUGGUUCUGAAUGGAAGGGCCAUCGCUCAACGGAUAAAAGGUACUCCGGGGAUAACAGGCUGAUACCGCCCAAGAGUUCAUAUCGACGGCGGUGUUUGGCACCUCGAUGUCGGCUCAUCACAUCCUGGGGCUGAAGUAGGUCCCAAGGGUAUGGCUGUUCGCCAUUUAAAGUGGUACGCGAGCUGGGUUUAGAACGUCGUGAGACAGUUCGGUCCCUAUCUGCCGUGGGCGCUGGAGAACUGAGGGGGGCUGCUCCUAGUACGAGAGGACCGGAGUGGACGCAUCACUGGUGUUCGGGUUGUCAUGCCAAUGGCACUGCCCGGUAGCUAAAUGCGGAAGAGAUAAGUGCUGAAAGCAUCUAAGCACGAAACUUGCCCCGAGAUGAGUUCUCCCUGACUCCUUGAGAGUCCUGAAGGAACGUUGAAGACGACGACGUUGAUAGGCCGGGUGUGUAAGCGCAGCGAUGCGUUGAGCUAACCGGUACUAAUGAACCGUGAGGCUUAACCUU